CCCUUAGAUGUUCUGGGCCGCACGCGUGCUACACUGAGUGGAUCAGCGGGUCAGGUUGCGCGAAAGUGUUUCCUAAUCUUGAAAUCCGCUCGUGAUGGGGAUUGACGGUUGCAAUUUUCCGUCAUGAACGAGGAAUACCUUGUAAGCGCGGGUCAUCAUCCCGCGCUGAAUACGUCCCUGCCCUUUGUACACACCGCCCGUCGCUCCUACCGAUUGAGUGGUCCGGUGAGGCUUUGGGAUCUGAGCAAAGAGAGCGUUUCGCUCGUUUUGCCCGGAAAACUCAGUCGAACCUUAUCAUUUAGAAGAAGGAGAAGUCGUAACA
rnacentral:rRNA from 1 species